rnacentral:rRNA from 1 species
UACAGAGGUGGCAAGCGUUGUUCGGAAUUACUGGGCGUAAAGGGCGAGUAGGUGGCCAUCUAAGUCAGACGUGAAAUCCCCCGGCUUAACCUGGGAACUGCGUCUGACACUGGACGGCUUGAGUAUGGGAGAGGAACGUAGAAUUCCAGGUGUAGCGGUGAAAUUCGUAGAUAUCGGGAGGAACACCGGUGGCGAAGGCGGCGACCUGGGUCGAGACUGACGCUGAGGCGCGAAAGCGUGGGGAGCAAACAGG